AGGUCGUGAUGUGGACACUUGUGCAAUAAAUUUUGUAUCGUUCCCAUGCCUCAUGUAAUGAUUCACCCUUAAAUUGGAUGAAGGUAGUGAUAUCAUUCCUUAGCUU